rfam:Hordeum vulgare subsp. vulgare, WGS project CAJW01000000 data, contig: morex_contig_61291
AUAAUACUCCCUCCGUCCGAAAAUACUUGUCCUAAAAAUGUAUAAAAUGAAUGUAUCUAUAACUAAAAUAAGUCUACAUAUAUCUAUUUCUCGGACAAGUAUUUCCAGACGGAGGGAGUAGUUC